CUAGUAGAGUCGACAUGGAAAAGAAAAAAAAAACAGUAGAGCAGAGCCGAUGAUAACGAGUGUGCUCUGCUGCUCCAUCCAUCCCCACCAAGAUCCGGCCAGGUUUCUUGUCCAUCCCCGGCGGCGGCGGGCCUGUCUUGGCCACCGGAGAGCGAGCGAGCGAGCGAGGCGUUGCCGUCGCUGCAGCGCGGCCGAGUGCGAGCAGGGGGACGCGCGCCGGCCGGUGUGUAUGGUAAGUUUGGAGGAGGUAUAGUGCAUAGCAGAGCAGAGCAGGGGAGCUGGCCGCAAACAGAGAACGUUGUGCUCCUAAACAACUAGUACUAUCUUCAGCAAAGCUAGCCAACCAGGGACCUAGAAUCUCCAUCACUCCAUCACCUCGAGUCUCAAGCAAUGGGCAGUGAACUGCUCGCAGCAACGGUUGCACCACCAGCGGAGCAUCCCUUGAUCCUGUCCACGACCACUACCACCACUACCGCCGGCAACGGAACCAUCACAACAAUCACCACCACCACAUGCUCCUCCGCUGCCAAUGGCAGCACUACCACUACCACCACUACCGCCGGCGACGGAACCACCACCAGAACCGCCACAACAAUCACCACCACCAGAUGCUCCUCCACCGCCGCCGAUGGCACCAGUACCACAACCACCACAACCACCACCACGACCACAACAAGAACCACCACAAGCACCUCCAACGCCACAACCAUUUCAUCCCACUGUGAUGAGGAAUUUGAAAUUUGAUGGCUGUGCCCAUCUGUAUGAUAUGCCUUGACCUCCUUCUUUGGUUGGUGAUGAUGGGAGCACAGGGCAUGAAGUUGAAGCUUCUCACCGAAGCCUGCAGUUGUUUGUCAUAUGAGGAAAUUGAAUGGAAAUUUGUGGGUACGAGCUAACAGUUAUCGGUUACUGUUUUGUUGAUGCAAAAUAUUAUCUAGAAACCUUGUAUCUUAAGUAAUUGUUAUUGCCAUAGAAACCUUUAGAUGCUUCUCUUGCAACUAUUGGUACGGUUCUGGAACUAAUGGAUUUCAUGGACGAUUGGGUUUUCAUC